rnacentral:rRNA from 1 species
UGAGGAAUAUUGGUCAAUGGGCGGAAGCCUGAACCAGCCAUGCCGCGUGCAGGAAGGAGGCCCUACGGGUUGUAAACUGCUUUUACCCGGGAAGAAACCGCCCCCUGUGGGGGGCGUUGCCGGUACCGGGGGAAAAAGGAUCGGCUAACUCCGUGCCAGCAGCCGCGGUAAUACGGAGGAUCCGGGCGUUAUCCGGAAUUACUGGGUUUAAAGGGUGCGUAGGCGGGGCUUUAAGCCGGCGGUGAAAUGCAGCGGCUCAACCGCUGGAAUGCCGUUGGGACUGGGGGUCUUGGAUACGGGCGGGGCGGGUGGAACUCGUGGUGUAGCGGUGAAAUGCGUAGAUAUUAGGAGGAACACCAGUGGCGAAGGCGGCUUUCUGGACUGUAACUGACACUGAGGCACGAAAGCGUGGGGAGCAAACA